UGGCGGACGGGUGAGUAACGCGUGGGGAACCUGCCCUGUACAGGGGGAUAACACUUAGAAAUAGGUGCUAAUACCGCAUAAGCGCACAGUAUCGCAUGAUACAGUGUGAAAAACUCCGGUGGUACAGGAUGGACCCGCGUCUGAUUAGCUGGUUGGCGGGGUAACGGCCUACCAAGGCGACGAUCAGUAGCCGGCCUGAGAGGGCGGACGGCCACACUGGGACUGAGACACGGCCCAGACUCCUACGGGAGGCAGCAG
rnacentral:rRNA from 1 species